UACAGAGGUCUCAAGCGUUGUUCGGAUUCAUUGGGCGUAAAGGGUGCGUAGGUGGCGGGGUAAGUCAGGUGUGAAAUCUCGAGGCUCAACCUCGAAACUGCACUUGAUACUGCCUUGCUUGAGUACUGGAGAGGAGAUUGGAAUUUACGGUGUAGCAGUGAAAUGCGUAGAUAUCAGGAGGAACACCAAUUGCGAAGGCAGCUCGCUGGGACGUUACUGACGCUGAGACGCGAAAGCGUGGGGAGCAAACAGG
rnacentral:rRNA from 1 species